AAGAAAAAAAAAAGGAAAGACGAGGAAUCCCCCGUACUCCUGACUCCUCCAUUCGCGAACUAAAACCUCUCCCUUUCGCCCUCGUUCUUUUGUUCGAAAUUAAAAGGUCUCCUCUCUCUCUCUCUCUCUCUCUCUCUCUCUCUAAACCCUUUCCUCUCACUCCAAAACCCUUCUCUCUCUCUCUCUCUCUCUCUCUCUAAAACGUUUCCUCUCACUCCAAAACCUCGCUCUCUCUCUCGCUCUCUCUGAGGACCUUCGAUCUCUUCGCAAUGGUACUCGGUGGGGCGGGUAUUGGUGCCCAGCAGCGGCGGCGGCGGCGGCUGAGGGGCUCCGGCGGAGACGGCGGCGCCGCGGCGGCGGCGGCGGCCGCGGGGCGUGAUCCGCCCUCGGCUCCGCCGUUGACGGCUUACGACGUCUCCUACUUUAACGCCUACGCGAAUUUGGAGGUGCACGAGGAGAUGCUUAAGGAUCGUGUACGAACUGAAAGCUACCGAUCUGCCAUCAUGCAACAUCAAAAGUUCAUCACUGACAAGGUUGUAAUAGAUGUUGGAUGUGGCACUGGAGUACUUUCUAUAUUUUGUGCUCGUGCUGGUGCUAGGCGGGUAUAUGCAGUAGAUGCGAGUCUUAUUGCAAAUCAGGCUAAGCAAGUUGUCGAAGAUAAUAAUUUAUCCGACAAGGUUAUUGUUUUGCAUGGACGAAUUGAGGUUUGUUACUCCUGUUUCCUAGAUGUCGAGAUUGAAGAGACGGUUGAUGUCAUAAUAUCUGAAUGGAUGGGCUACAUGCUCGUAUAUGAGAGUAUGCUGGAGAGUGUAAUUUUUGCCAGGGAUAAAUGGCUCAAACCAGGAGGACUUAUUCUUCCAUCUCAUGCCUCGCUUUACAUGGCACCUGUUACCAAUUCUGAACGGUAUCAUCAGAGCAUUGACUUCUGGCAUAAUGUUUAUGGAAUUAAAAUGUCUGCUUUGAUUCCUUUUGCAAAACUAACUGCAUUCGAGGAACCUUCCGUUGAGACAAUUAAAGGAGAAAAUGUUUUGACAUGGCCAUCGUUGGUUACAGAAGUGGAUUGCUAUACGGUAAGAGUUCAAGAGCUUAAAACCAUCACAGCAAAGUAUGAGUUUUCAUCAAUGCUGCAAGCUCCUCUGCAUGGGUUUGCCUUUUGGUUUGAUGUUGAGUUUAAUGGCCCUGAGCUGCCUGUUCUCAACUACUACUACAAUCAACUUACAUCUGGAAGCCUGUCGCAAGACCAACACCCACAUAGCUCUGGCCAUUUGAGAAAAAGACCAAAAUCUGAGGAAGCCGUUAUACUCUCUACUGCACCAGAAGAUGCCCCUACACACUGGCAACAGACGCUCGUCUACAUGUUCGAUCCUAUACAGCUGGAAGAAGGUCAGAUUGUAGAAGGUUCGGUCACUAUCUCCCAAAGGGAAGAGCACUCGCGGUUCCUAAACAUCCGCCUGGAAUUCAACUCCGGAGGUCGAUCAUUUGAAAAAGUAUCUGUGCUGCGAUAACAGGACGGAGCUUAUCAAAUUUUCUAUAUUUUAGGAGCCAUUUGGUUUAUGGCAACGAUGUUGAAUUUCUAGAACUAGUCUAGUUGAAGGUGCUGUGGAAACUUAGCUAUCUUGGUGGAGCACCUUCCGAGAAGUUGAGAGAUGAGAUGCCUUUCAAGGUAUCAGCAGAGUCUGUAGGCCCUUAGUUGCUAAAUAACUUGCACAUAAUUUUGGGGUAGUGCAGGUGAUCAAUUCUUUGAGGUUGUGGUAUGUGAUAGUCGUUCGGUACAUGCUGUGAAAAGCAUUAAAUCAGACGUCAAUCCAUUUACUGAAAGAAUAAUUUUCAAGUGUAAGCUGAUUAGGAUUUGGGAGAGAGAGACUGAUCGGCAAUUGUUUGUCUGCUGGGCUGGUGAUAUAAUGAUGCUGAUUGUUCAAGUGUAACUUCAUUGUGAAGAAAAUUUAUGAAGGUGACGCACAAAGCUUGGACAAAUGAACGCGGAUGAAUGGUUACCGUUCAGAUCAAUGUACGCAAUUUUUACUGUAUAUCUUACUGCAGCUAAAGUUAUUUGCUUUAUUUCCGCGCUUCUGCAGUUUU